CCUACGGGGGGCAGCAGUAGGGAAUAUUGGGCAAUGGACGCAAGUCUGACCCAGCCACGCCACGUGCAGGAAGAUGCCCUCUGGGUUGUAAACUGCUUUUGACUGGGAAGCGGUACCAGCAGAAUAAGCCACGGCUAACUACGUGCCAGCAGCCGCGGUAAUACGUAGGUGGCGAGCGUUAUCCGGAUUUAUUGGGUUUAAAGGGUGCGUAGGCGGCUGAUUAAGUCAGCGGUGAAAGGUAGCAGCUUAACUGUUUUACAGCCGUUGAUACUGGUUAGCUUGAGUUAACAGAAGGCAGAUAGAAUUUCUGGUGUAGCGGUGAAAUGCUUAGAUACCAGAAGGAAUACCGAUUGCGAAGGCAGUCUGCUGCGUACACUGACGCUGAGGCACGAAAGUGCGGGGAUCAAACAGGAUUAGAUACCCUUGUAGUC
rnacentral:rRNA from 1 species